AGUGAGCGCUGGCGGUAGGCCUAACACAUGCAAGUCGAACGGCAGCACAGUAAGAGCUUGCUCUUACGGGUGGCGAGUGGCGGACGGGUGAGGAAUACAUCGGAAUCUACUUUUUCGUGGGGGAUAACGUAGGGAAACUUACGCUAAUACCGCAUACGACCUACGGGUGAAAGCAGGGGAUCUUCGGACCUUGCGCGAUUGAAUGAGCCGAUGUCGGAUUAGCUAGUUGGCGGGGUAAAGGCCCACCAAGGCGACGAUCCGUAGCUGGUCUGAGAGGAUGAUCAGCCACACUGGAACUGAGACACGGUCCAGACUCCUACGGGAGGUAGCAGUGGGGAAUAUUGGACAAAGGGCGCAAGCCUGAUCCAGCCAUACCGCGUGGGUGAAGAAGGCCUUCGGGUUGUAAAGCCCUUUUGUUGGGAAAGAAAAGCAGCAGGUUAAUACCCCGCUGUUCUGACGGUACCCAAAGAAUAAGCACCGGCUAACUUCGUG
rnacentral:rRNA from 1 species